CUACGGGCGGCUGCAGUAAGGAAUAUUGCGCAAUGGAGGCAACUCUGACGCAGCCAUGCCGCGUGCAGGACUGAAGGCCUUAUGGGUCGUAAACUGCUUUUAUUUAGGAAUAAACUCUUGUACGUGUACGAGACUGAAGGUACUAAAUGAAUAAGCACCGGCUAACUCCGUGCCAGCAGCCGCGGUAAUACGGAGGGUGCAAGCGUUAUCCGGAUGUAUUGGGUUUAAAGGGUGCGCAGGCGGACUAUUAAGUCAGAGGUGAAAUCCCGGAGCUCAACUUCGGAACUGCCUUUGUACUGGUAGUCUUGAAUGCGGCUGAUGCAGGCGGAAUGUAGCAUGUAGCGGUGAAAUGCAUAGAGAUGCUACAGAACACCGAUCGCGAAGGCAGCUUACUAAGCCGAUAUUGACGCUCAGGCACGAAAGCGUGGGGAGCGAACGGGAUUAGAUACCCCAGUAGUC
rnacentral:rRNA from 1 species